rnacentral:lncRNA from 1 species
ACUCGUAGAAACCAAGCCCAUGCACAAGUAGAAAGUGCUCGUGGAGCCGGCCGGGGGCCCCCGCCGCGCCGCCCUCCCCGCGGCGCCGUAAAUAGACUCUUCACUCUGCUCUGUAUGUUACAGUAUGUACAGGCCCCUCCCCUCGGGGGCGGGGCGGCCCGGGACGGGGACGCGCGCCGGCAUGCGGAGUCGGGCGGGGGCGCGCGGCGGGGGCGGGACCGAGGCGGAUACAUUCAGAGACGCGUCCAACAAAUAAAUAAGGCAAGUCGGGAGGGGGCCGGGGCGGGUGCAGGCAGCGGGGAAACGUGGAGCAGGGGCAGGCGGGGCUCCGGAGGUCGCGGCUGAAGAUGCGGGGAGGUGGGGCGCGGGCCCGGCGGGGGGGGGGGGGGAUGCCGAGAGACGGGGCGCGCCCCAGCGGGGCGGGGCGGGGGGGCCCCGGGAGGGUUCCGGCCGCCGCUUAGCGGGACGGCGGCCGACGGGGGCUCCCCUCCCGCCGAGGGCCCGGCCUCGGUUAAGACUGCCAGGAGCGGCCCCCGGGGCGGUGAGGAAGGCGGCGCGGCGGUCAGGUGGCCAGUCCGGGCUGGGGGAGCCCUUCCAGCUCCUGGUUCUGCUUCAGUUCCCUCAUCCUG